rnacentral:tRNA from 1 species
AGUGAUAUAGUUUAAUUAAAAUAAUUCUUUUGCAUAGAAUAGAUAGGAUUUAUCCUUAUUGUUA